rnacentral:rRNA from 1 species
UGACGGUACCUGACUAAGAAGCACCGGCUAAAUACGUGCCAGCAGCCGCGGUAAUACGUAUGGUGCAAGCGUUAUCCGGAUUUACUGGGUGUAAAGGGAGCGUAGACGGCAUGGCAAGCCAGAUGUGAAAGGUGGGGGCUCAACUCCCAAGCUGCAUUUGGAACUGUCAAGCUAGAGUAUCGGAGAGGUAAGUGGAAUUCCUAGUGUAGCGGUGAAAUGCGUAGAUAUUAGGAGGAACACCAGUGGCGAAGGCGGCUUACUGGACGAUAACUGACGUUGAGGCUCGAAAGCGUGGGGAGCAAACAGGAUUAGAUACCCUG